CAGCAGGAAGGUGUAGCCACAAGGCUCCUGAGGUGUAUGUGUUAUCAGUCUCGACAUCCAAACCGAAUUUGGGUUGAAGGAUCCAUCCUGUCUCUGUGGUGUGACUACAACAACUGGCCCUGUGAGCAGGACAUCAAGGGUAUAUAUAGAGAGGCCAGGAGCCUUGGAGUAGAGCACACUGUUGCUACUGACAUGGCAGAGGAAACUACAAU